rnacentral:snRNA from 1 species
AUUGCUUCUCGGCCUUUUGGCUAAGAUCAAGUGUAGUAUCUGUUCUUAUCAGUUUAAUAUCUGAUACAUCCCCUAUCUGGGGACCAUAUAUUAAAUUGAUUUUUGGAACAGGGAGAUGGAAUAGGGGCUUGCUAAAAAAAAUAAAUAAAU